GGGAGAGAGAGAGGGCUGAGGAGGAGAGAGAAGGGUGAGGAGGAGAGAGAAGGGCUGAGGAGGAGAGAGAAGGUUGAGGAGAGAGAGAAGGCUGAGGGGGAGAGAGAGAGGGCUGAGGAGGAGAGAGAAAGCCGAGGAGGAGAGAGAAGGCUGAGGAGAGAGAGAAGGCUGAGGAGAGAGAGAAGGCUGAGGGGGAGAGAGAGGUCUGAGGAGGAGAGAGAAGGGUGAGGAGGAGAGAGAAAGCCGAGGAGGAGAGAGAAGGCUGAGGAGAGAGAGAAGGCUGAGGAGAGAGAGAAGGCUGAGGAGGAGAGAGAAGGCUGGCUUUACAGUUCUGGGGCAAAGGUCAUGGCACGUCCUUUCCCCUCCUUUCCUUCCUCCAUCUCCUUCUUUCCUUCUCCCUCUCACUUUUCCCCCUCAUUUCUCUGCUCUGUUUUUCCUUCUUUUUAUUUUAUCUCUAGCUGUUGCCUCUACCCCCCCC
rnacentral:lncRNA from 1 species